rnacentral:rRNA from 1 species
UAAAAGGCCGCGGUAUUGUGACCGUGCAAAGGUAGCAUAAUCAUUAGUUUUUUAAUUGAAGGCUAGAAUGAACGGUUGGACAAGAAAUAAUCUGUCUUAAUAAAAGAUAUUGAAUUUAACUUUUAAGUGAAAAGGCUUAAAUAAUUUGAGGGGACGAUAAGACCCUAUAAAACUUUAUGUUUAAUAAUAGUAGCUAGUUUUGUUUAAAUUUAUUAUUUUAAAGCAUUUGGUUGGGGUGACAAGGAUAAAAUUAAUAGUAACUGUCUUUUUAUUUUACAAUUAUAUUUGGAGUUAUGAUCCUUAAAAGGAUUAAAGAUUAAGUUACUUUAGGGAUAACAGCGUGAUUUUUUUUAAGAGUUCUUAUCGACAAGAAAGUUUGCGACCUCGAUGUUGAAUUAAAAGUUCGUUGUAGAGUAGAAACUAUGAUAGAAGGUCUGUUCGACCUUUAAAAUUUUACAUGAUUUGAGUUCAGACCGGUGUAAGCCAGGUUGU